GAGUUUGAUCCUGGCUCAGGACGAACGCUGGCGGCGUGCUUAACACAUGCAAGUCGAACGGUGACCUCGGAGCUUGCUCCGGGUGAUCAGUGGCGAACGGGUGAGUAACACGUGACCAACCUGCCCCUAACUCUGGGAUAACCCCGGGAAACCGGAGCUAAUACCGGAUACGAGACCGAGCGGCAUCACACGGUCUGGAAAGUUUUUCGGUUAGGGAUGGGGUCGCGGCCUAUCAGCUUGUUGGUGGGGUAAUGGCCUACCAAGGCGACGACGGGUAGCCGGCCUGAGAGGGCGACCGGCCACACUGGGACUGAGACACGGCCCAGACUCCUACGGGAGGCAGCAGUGGGGAAUAUUGCGCAAUGGGCGAAAGCCUGACGCAGCGACGCCGCGUGAGGGAUGACGGCCU
rnacentral:rRNA from 1 species